GAAAAGGCUUCUAUGAUUCCGUGAACAUUUUUUCUAUCACUGAAGCCACCAAGAUAUAAAAGAAAGUUUUCU
rfam:Clostridium proteolyticum DSM 3090 genome assembly, contig: EJ39DRAFT_scaffold00011.11